rnacentral:tRNA from 1 species
AGUGGAAUGGCCGAGGUUGAUAAGGUUAUAAAUUGUAAAUUUAUUUAGGAGUUGGAUUUAUUACUCUUCCACUA